AGUCUGUCUGUCCGUCCGUCUGUCUGACCCAUUGACGCCUAUUUCCCAGAGACUAAAGAAAAUCGCUCGGAUCAUUAUCAUAGUCUGAAUUAAGCAAUUAAGUCCCACGACGCUUCCCGGCGUAGUGAUGGAGAUAUAACUGCCGGAUAGUACGUCGUUGGUGGGAAAAGAGAGACAGAGACAGAGACAGAGAGAGAUGGAGAAUAUGCAAGAAGAGCUGGAAAGAGGAUAGUCGGAUGUAUAGUUUACAUAUGUAAAGCAUAGAAACUGAGUACUGGGUAUCAUUGUGUCUUCCAGCUUCAGGGCUAGGUUUUGUUUAUAUGGGCGGCCAGAGUCGAAACUAUACCUUUUACUUUAUUCCUGAUUAUCUCUUCACACACAUACAUACAUACAAAUGCAGACUUUACUUGAGUAAUUUUGUUACGGUGGGAUUGCUGGGAGAUCUCUCAGCUCCAAGUGUACCACCGCCUAUAAUUCUUAUCACCUGGCACUGAAAUUCUUAUCGUGUUUGCUUCUCUUUGCACCUUAACGUUUCCACCGUUUUCUUUGUGCAGCUUGUCCGUUGUCGUUGUCGUUGUCGUUGUCCGCUGCUCGCUUUCCGCUUUGGUUACUGUUCGUUGUUCAUUUAGUCUCUGUCGGGGCCGGACGUGUACGCUAAGUUGUCGUUAAGUCGUUUUGUCAAUAGUGGAAACGACAAUAACAAUGACAACGACGACGACGACGACGACGACGACGAUGAUAAGACGGACGCACGCUUACGCUUCCAGUAUGGCGAAACAAUUACACAAAGAGAGCGACAACGACAGCAAGCUGCUGGCGCCUCUCUGUUGGAGUAUCUGUGCACUGCUCCUCUGUGCUUCUCUGUGCUCUGCGAAUGAGUGGGCGCAGACCAAUUGGCACACUCGGGGACCUCACCCGCCCGUCUCUCCACUCUGAUCCGUCUGAUACCAUACGAUCAGAUCCGAUUCGAUACGAUUCCAUCAGAUCCGCUGUACGAGUACUCACGUCAGUUGAUUGCCGUACACGGAACAGUUCGCGACCCCCGUCCGGCCCACGUCGCUUGCAACGCUUCAAAUUGUGUCGGAAUUUACGUGCUUGGGCACGUACCGUACCGUACCGUGUCGUAUCGUGCCGUGUCGUGGAGUGCCGGUCGAGUGGUGACCCAGACUCGUAGUUUCCUAAUGGAAUGGACCUGGUUCAAGGACUGGUGGCGCCUCAAAAAGCUACGAUCGCGUCACCAGCGCCACAAGAAGAAACUCGAAGCAGCAGCGGCGGCGGGCACCGCAGUUAGCACAGCCGCCGUCUUGCCCGGAUCAGAUCCAGGGGCGGGUGGCGAGAGCCUGAGUCAAGAAGAUCGCCGGACCAAACGCCGUCAUAGCCUGGAUGCAAUCACAGGGGCGGACUUAGCGCAUGCGCAGCGACGCGGUCGUGUCCGGGAUCGACUGCGCCGCAAUCGCUUGCUGCAGUGUCAGCGGAGAAGCCAAAGCGCAGGCGUCCACGCCAAGCAGCUGGACAAUGGCAAGGAUACGGCUGAGGAUGACGAUGACGGGGAAUACGGACCCUUUAACGUCAGCGAUUACGAGGACUAUGGACCGAGUCAUGGCAGCGAUGGCGAGAGCGACGACUUCUGCUACUGCGACAUCUGCCUGAAUGGCGACACGGACUUCGGGGAAAGCAAUGACGGCAUGGACUCCGACACAAGCACCUCCUCCAGCAACAGCAAGCAGGUGAUGGUCGGCAUCUGUGCAAUGGCCAAGAAGACGCAGUCGAAGCCGAUGAAGGAGAUCCUCACGCGGCUCGGCGAGUUCGAGUUCAUCAAGCUGGUCACGUUCGAGGAGAACGUGAUACUGCGCGAACCUGUCCAGAACUGGCCCACCUGUGACUGCCUGGUCUCGUUCCACUCGAAGGGAUUCCCCCUGGAGAAGGCCAUCGAGUACGCCCAGCUGCGUAAUCCGUUUGUCCUCAAUAACCUUCACAUGCAGUACGACAUCCAGGACAGGCGGCGGGUCUAUGCCAUACUGGAGAAGGAGGGCAUCGAGAUACCACGCUAUGCGGUCCUCGAUCGCGACUCUCCCGAUCCCAAGCAUCACGAGCUGAUAGAAUCUGAGGACCACGUGGAGGUCAAUGGCAUCACCUUCAAUAAGCCGUUCGUAGAGAAGCCAGUCUCGGCGGAGGACCACAACAUCUACAUCUACUACCCGACCUCGGCGGGGGGUGGAAGUCAGCGUUUGUUUCGUAAGAUCGGCAGUAGGAGCAGUGUCUAUUCGCCGGAGUCGCGGGUACGCAAGACGGGCUCAUUUAUCUACGAGGACUUCAUGCCCACCGAUGGCACCGACGUGAAGGUCUACACCGUGGGACCGGAUUACGCGCAUGCGGAGGCCCGUAAGAGUCCUGCGCUAGACGGCAAGGUGGAGCGUGACAGCGAGGGCAAGGAGAUCCGCUACCCUGUGAUCCUCAAUCACUCCGAGAAGCUAAUUUCCCGCAAGGUAUGUCUGGCCUUCAAGCAGACGGUCUGCGGCUUCGAUCUCCUGCGGGCAAAUGGCAAGAGCUACGUGUGCGAUGUGAACGGCUUCAGUUUCGUGAAGAACUCAAACAAAUACUACGAUGACUGCGCCAAGAUCCUGGGCAAUAUGAUCCUCAGGGAAUUGACGCCCACGCUGCACAUUCCCUGGUCGGUGCCCUUCCAACUGGAUGAUCCGCCCAUCGUCCCCACCACCUUUGGCAAGAUGAUGGAGCUGCGUUGCGUGGUGGCCGUGAUCCGGCAUGGGGAUCGCACGCCCAAGCAAAAGAUGAAAGUCGAAGUGCGGCAUCCAAAGUUCUUUGAGAUUUUCGAGAAGUACGAUGGCUACAAGCUGGGCCAUGUGAAGCUGAAGCGGCCCAAGCAGCUGCAGGAGAUCCUCGACAUAGCCCGCUUCUUGCUCAGCGAAAUACACACCAAGGCACACGCGGAGAUCGAGGAGAAGGAGAGCAAGCUGGAGCAGCUGAAGAACGUCCUGGAGAUGUACGGCCACUUCUCGGGCAUCAAUCGAAAGGUUCAGAUGAAGUACCAGCCCAAGGGACGACCCCGCGGAUCGAGCUCCGACGACAGUAAGUCUCUUGUAGUCUCCAAUCCUAAACGCGGUCUUGUGCUGAAGCCCGGCGAAGCCAAUCUUCCAGCGGAAUCCCCUGCAGAACCGUCCCUGGUACUCAUCCUCAAGUGGGGUGGCGAGCUAACGCCGGCCGGACGCAUCCAGGCCGAGGAACUGGGCCGCAUUUUCCGCUGCAUGUAUCCAGGAGGUCAGGGACGAUCCGAUUACUCGGGCACCCAGGGAUUGGGUCUACUACGCCUGCACUCCACCUUUCGGCAUGACCUGAAGAUCUAUGCCUCGGACGAGGGUCGUGUCCAGAUGACAGCGGCUGCCUUUGCCAAGGGUCUGCUGGCCCUCGAGGGAGAGCUGACUCCCAUUCUGGUGCAGAUGGUUAAGAGCGCCAACACGAAUGGGCUGUUGGACAACGAUUGCGACUCCAGUAAAUAUCAAAAUCGGGCCAAGGGUCGCCUACACGAGCUCAUGCAAAACGACCGCGAGUUUACAAAGGAGGAUCGCGAGCAUAUCAAUCCGUGCAAUAGCAAAUCGAUUACUCAGGCCCUGGACUUUGUGAAGAAUCCAGUAGACUGCUGUCACCAUGUGCACCUGCUGAUCCGCGAGCUGCUGCACAUAAUCAGCAUUAAGAAAGACGAUCCCAAGACCAAGGACGCCAUACUGUACCAUGGCGAAACCUGGGACCUGAUGCGGUGCCGCUGGGAGAAGAUCGAGAAGGACUUCAGUACGAAAUCAAAGCUCUUUGAUAUCUCCAAGAUACCAGACAUCUACGACUGCAUCAAAUAUGAUCUGCAGCACAACCAGCACACGCUGCAGUACGACCAGGCCGAAGAGCUCUAUAUCUAUGCCAAGAACCUGGCCGACAUUGUCAUACCGCAGGAGUACGGUCUGACGCCACAGGAGAAGCUGGCCAUUGGGCAGGGUAUCUGCUCGCCGCUGCUGCGCAAGAUCAAAGGUGAUCUGCAGCGGAACAUCGAUGAGGUCGAGGACGAGUUUAUGAACCGUCUGAACCCACACUACAGCCACGGCGUGGCCAGUCCCCAGCGUCACGUCCGCACCCGGCUGUACUUCACCAGCGAGUCCCAUGUCCACUCCCUGCUCACCGUACUCCGGUACGGUGGCCUUCUUAACGUGGUCACCGACGAGCAGUGGCGGCGCGCCAUGGACUACAUCUCCAUGGUGUCCGAGCUGAAUUACAUGUCCCAGAUCGUCAUCAUGCUGUACGAGGAUCCCACCAAGGAUCCCACCUCCGAGGAGCGUUUCCACGUCGAGCUCCACUUUAGUCCGGGCGUCAACUGUUGCGUCCAAAAGAACCUGCCGCCAGGGCCCGGGUUCCGGCCCCACUCCCACGGCGACAAUGCCUGCAACGUGAGCAUGCAGUCCUCGGACGAGGCGAAUCCUGCCCGAAUCGAGGAGGAGAACGACAACUCCGGCGAGGAGCAGAACACCAAAAAGGCAGGGAGCUGCGAGGAGCACAUCUCCGCUUCUGGCUCCAGCAGCAAUAUUUUCAAUGCCGGCUUCAACCGGCUGGAGCUGCGCACCAAACAUCUCAAGUCGAAGCCCAUUCCUAUCGGCUCGCACCACACGGUAAGCGGGCACGAGGCGAUGGAUCUGGCGAAGCGGCUCAACGAGGAGCUCGCCUCCCAGCAGCACCAGCUCUCCCAUCAGCAGCAACAGCAACAGCAGCAGCAGCAACAGCAGCAGCAGCAACAGCAGCAGCAGCAGCAAUUGCGCCCCAUCAGCCCCGAUAUGCGGGCAGUUAGUCCGGACUGCGAGCCGCGAUCCCGCAGCUUCGAGCAGCGUCCCACCGCCGGAAACUGUUGCAAGGAGACGGAUAGCACAGUUUCGGUGUCGGUAUCGGCCUCGGCCUCAUCGGCCAACUCGUCAACAUCAUCGCGUCGCCAAAGACACAGUAUUGCCGGCCAGAUGUCCUAUAUGAAAAUGUUGGGUUUCGGUGGUUUUAGCAAAAAGAUGGCCACCAGCGCUAAUAGCCUUUUCAGCACGGCAGUGAUAAGCGGUAGCUCAUCUGCCCCCAAUCUGCGGGACAUGAUACCGGUCUCGUCUUCCGGAUUUGGCGAUGUACCACCAAUACGGCCCCUCGAAACGCUCCACAAUGCUCUGUCGCUGCGCAAGCUGGACUGUUUCCUGCAGGACAUGAUCCUGGCGCAGAUAUUCAAGACACCAACGGGCUCUCCGCCGCGCGUCCUCGACCACGGCACUAUGCCGGCCGUCUCUUCAAUGACGCUCGCUGCACAUGUGGAUGUCGCCGCUUCAGUCGGUCAAGGCAUUGUCGGCGCUGGGGACAUCCCGAGCACGCCGACGGGGGUGAUGGUGAAAGUGGAUCACUCGCCCCUCAGUGUGACCUUCCAAGGAGGCUGUAGCGAAUCGGGCUCGAUUAACGGGCUCUCGGAACGACACCAGGAGAAUAAGCUUCUCUCAGAAUUGGCGAUGGAAGAGCUAAAUAAAAUCCAGGAUGCGGAUGAUCGGAGGCAGUGCCGAACCUUUUUGGCCGCCAAAAAAGAGCUGGAUUGAAUUGAGCCAAGCAUUUAGAGAAUGCAGCUAACAUUUUGUUUACCACUAUAUAUUACUAUAUUUUACUAUAAAUCUGGCAGCAGCAGCAGGAGAGCCUCCAGGCAGCCGUGGCGGAUGAGGAACCACAAUCCGAACCAGAGCU
rnacentral:misc_RNA from 1 species